rnacentral:rRNA from 1 species
UACGGGGGGAGCAAGCGUUGUUCGGAUUUACUGGGCGUAAAGGGCGCGUAGGCGGCCAGCACAAGUCAGAUGUGAAAUCCCCGGGCUUAACCUGGGAACUGCAUUUGUGACUGCACAGCUGGAGUGCGGCAGAGGGGGAUGGAAUUCCGCGUGUAGCAGUGAAAUGCGUAGAUAUGCGGAGGAACACCGAUGGCGAAGGCAAUCCCCUGGGCCUGCACUGACGCUCAUGCACGAAAGCGUGGGGAGCAAACAGG